rnacentral:lncRNA from 1 species
AUGAACUGACCAACUAAAGAGUUCGGGUUGAAGCCCCUUGAUUCUGGAAAUAUCAAAGGUGAAUAUGGGCCCAUUCACCUGCCAUGUAUACCACAUAUUGCUAGACGUAUAAGAUAUCGAAAAACUGAUUACACAUACCAUUGACUUUAUACUUUCAAGUAUUUGAACUACAUGCCCAAAACUAGAUGUCUUUCAUAUGGAAUCAAUUCUACUUGAAUUGUAUCUCUUCCAUUUUGG